CUCACCUGCCGAAUGAACUAGCCCUGAAAAUGGAUGACGCUUAAGCGGGUUGCCGACACCAGACCGUUUCGAUAAGAAGCGAUCGAAAUGAGUAGGAGGGCGUGGCGGUUUUGUUGUGAAGGAUGAGACGCAAGUCUAUCUGAAACGGCCGCUAGUGCAKAUCUUGGUGGUAGUARCAAAUAUUCAAGCGAGAUCCUUGAAGGGCGAAGCGGGGAAGGGUUCCACGCGAACAUUGAUUGGGCGUGGGUGAGUCGUUCCUAAGCCGGGUGGUAAUCGUUCUUCGAUCGGCGAAAGGGAAGCGGGUUAAAAUUCUCGCACACGGAUGUGGAGGCGGUGACGCAAAUUGAGGUGGAGACGUUAGCGGUGGCACUGGGCAGAGUUUUCUUUUCUGUUUAACCUGUGAGUGCACUCUGUGGAAUCCGAUUAUCGGGCGAAACAKGUGCUUAUGGGAAGAGCUGUCGGGGCGUCCCCGGCGUCCAGUACKCCACCGAUAGCCCUUGAAACUCCAUCUGCAAUGAAA
rnacentral:rRNA from 1 species